GCGGAGGGCCGGAUGGCCGCGGGCGGCGUCAAGCCGCUCGAGGAAAGUCCGGACUCCCUGAAGCAACGGUGCCGGGUAACGCCCGGGCAGGGCAACCUGACGGAAAGCGCCACAGAGAUGAGACCGCCCCGGGCCCGUCCCGGGGUCAGGGUGAAACGGUGGGGUAAGAGCCCACCGGGGGGCCGGCAACGGCGCCCGCAUGGCAAGCCCCACCGGGAGCAAUGCCGCAUAGGGAUCUCGCGCGGGGCAACCCGCAGGGCCGCUUCAGCCCGAGAGAUCCGGGUUGGCAGCUCGAGCCGCCGGGCAACCGGCGGCCAAGAGGAAUGGUCAUCUCCGUCCUUUUCGGAGGACGCAGACAGAAUCCGGCUUACAGGCCCUCCGCGCUA
rnacentral:RNase_P_RNA from 2 species